rnacentral:rRNA from 1 species
GAUGAACGCUAGCCACAGGCUUAACACAUGCAAGUCGAGGGGCAGCAUGGUCUUAGCUUGCUAAGGCCGAUGGCGACCGGCGCACGGGUGAGUAACACGUAUCCAACCUGCCGUCUACUCUUGGACAGCCUUCUGAAAGGAAGAUUAGUACAAGAUGGCAUCAUGAGUCCGCAUGUUCACAUGAUUAAAGGUAUUCCGGUAGACGAUGGGGAUGCGUUCCAUUAGAUAGUAGGCGGGGUAACGGCCCACCUAGUCUUCGAUGGAUAGGGGUUCUGAGAGGAAGGUCCCCCACAUUGGAACUGAGACACGGUCCAAACUCCUACGGGAGGCAGCAGUGAGGAAUAUUGGUCAAUGGGCGAGAGCCUGAACCAGCCAAGUAGCGUGAAGGAUGACUGCCCUAUGGGUUGUAAACUUCUUUUAUAAAGGAAUAAAGUCGGGUAUGGAUACCCGUUUGCAUGUACUUUAUGAAUAAGGAUCGGCUAACUCCGUGCCAGCAGCCGCGGUAAUACGGAGGAUCCGAGCGUUAUCCGGAUUUAUUGGGUUUAAAGGGAGCGUAGAUGGAUGUUUAAGUCAGUUGUGAAAGUUUGCGGCUCAACCGUAAAAUUGCAGUUGAUACUGGAUAUCUUGAGUGCAGUUGAGGCAGGCGGAAUUCGUGGUGUAGCGGUGAAAUGCUUAGAUAUCACGAAGAACUCCGAUUGCGAAGGCAGCCUGCUAAGCUGCAACUGACAUUGAGGCUCGAAAGUGUGGGUAUCAAACAGGAUUAGAUACCCUGGUAGUCCACACGGUAAACGAUGAAUACUCGCUGUUUGCGAUAUACUGCAAGCGGCCAAGCGAAAGCGUUAAGUAUUCCACCUGGGGAGUACGCCGGCAACGGUGAAACUCAAAGGAAUUGACGGGGGCCCGCACAAGCGGAGGAACAUGUGGUUUAAUUCGAUGAUACGCGAGGAACCUUACCCGGGCUUAAAUUGCAGAUGAAUUACGGUGAAAGCCGUAAGCCGCAAGGCAUCUGUGAAGGUGCUGCAUGGUUGUCGUCAGCUCGUGCCGUGAGGUGUCGGCUUAAGUGCCAUAACGAGCGCAACCCUUGUUGUCAGUUACUAACAGGUUCCGCUGAGGACUCUGACAAGACUGCCAUCGUAAGAUGUGAGGAAGGUGGGGAUGACGUCAAAUCAGCACGGCCCUUACGUCCGGGGCUACACACGUGUUACAAUGGGGGGUACAGAGGGCCGCUACCACGCGAGUGGAUGCCAAUCCCCAAAACCUCUCUCAGUUCGGACUGGAGUCUGCAACCCGACUCCACGAAGCUGGAUUCGCUAGUAAUCGCGCAUCAGCCACGGCGCGGUGAAUACGUUCCCGGGCCUUGUACACACCGCCCGUCAAGCCAUGGGAGCCGGGGGUACAAGAAGUGCGUAACCGCGAGGAG